rnacentral:rRNA from 1 species
AACGAACGCUGGCGGCAUGCCUAGCACAUGCAAGUCGAACGAGACCUUCGGGUCUAGUGGCGCACGGGUGCGUAACGCGUGGGAACCUGCCCUUAGGUUCGGAAUAACUCCCCGAAAGGGGUGCUAAUACCGGAUAAUGUCUUCGGACCAAAGAUUUAUCGCCUUUGGAUGGGCCCGCGUUGGAUUAGCUAGUAGGUAGGGUAAAAGCCUACCAAGGCGACGAUCCAUAGCUGGUCUGAGAGGAUGAUCAGCCACACUGGGACUGAGACACGGCCCAGACUCCUACGGGAGGCAGCAGUGGGGAAUAUUGGACAAUGGGCGAAAGCCUGAUCCAGCAAUGCCGCGUGAGUGAUGAAGGCCUUAGGGUUGUAAAGCUCUUUUACCCGGGAUGAUAAUGACAGUACCGGGAGAAUAAGCUCCGGCUAACUCCGUG